ACCCUGUCCCUAACCCCCAGCUGCCCCUCCCCUGACACAGCUCCACACUGCGUCCCUUGGGUUCUGUUGUUGGUCACUAGAGAGAGAUUCCUUACAGCAAAUGUUGCCACCCCUAUAGCUCAAUGCAUUGCACUAGCAAAACUCUCCACACUUCUCCACAAUGCCUGCAAGGAAGAGGAAUGUUUUGCUCCCCAUGGCCAGGCCAGCUCCACCCAAGGGCACUGGAUGACCUUGCUGGUGCAAGUACAGUGCAGCCCAGUGACAAGAAGGGUGUGACCUGGCCACUGCAAACAGGGAAAGGAGCUCACGCCCCGUGGGCAGGCAGUGUGCUGCGGGGCACCAGUGUUAGCCAGACUAACCUGCAAGUACCUUGUUUCUGGGCACUGUAGCAGUGACCAGAGUAUGGCAGGUGGGCUCUGCCUGCUCACUGCUAGUGUGCAGUGCUUUUUGUUGUUUUCAUACCCCUAAAACUUCUCACAGACAAGCAAGUGAGGGUACGGUGGCUUUAAGUGGCAUCUGAUCUGCCAAGGCUUUAUGGUACCAACCAGCAGCCCUCCAGCAGAAGGCCUGCCUGCAAAGCCUGAGAAAGAAAGGGGUCCCUCUUUCUGCCUCGUCUUCUCUCAUGCCCCCAGACAGCUAUGCCAACAGUUUUCACUGUGAUAUGGUUGUGCUUGAGGUGUACGUGACUCAUCACAGGGGAUUUCUAUCGCUGGAACAAUCCUUGACUUAGGUAAUCUGUUUUGAACGCUUCCACUGCGUUAAUUGUUUGGGGCUUUUUCUUAGCGUGUUUGUGGAUGGCUGUCAGUAGAGCUUGGAUUUCUUCCUUCGCAGAACCAGCAUUUUUGCUAUGCAUGCUUGCCUUCUAGGCAACAUUCACACUGAUGGAAGUGCUCCAUGCAGGUGGUACAUAUUUGCAUCCUUAUGCAAGCUAACAACUAUUCCCUUUCUCAGACACUUUUGCUUUUUAUAGUCCUUUGCUUAUGUAUUACCAUCUCUUCUGUGAUUCUGGGCUGCAGUUCUCAUUUCCAUCUUUUUUUUUUUUCCCCUGUUGCUGUUCACCUUCCUACUUCGGUUAAUGACAUCAGCUGUUGCUAUUUCUGUGCUUCAAUAGACAUUGCUCACAUCUGAAUUGGUUGCUUUGGUUAGAGGCGAUAUUUUGUAUGUCAGAUCCCCAGAGCUGCGAGAGCAUCUUCCCCUCUCUCUCUUAAGGAACAUCUCCCCCCCUGCUUGUAUGCAAUGUGAAAAAGAGCCUGAGCAGGCAAGCCUCAGGGGCUAAUGCAUUAAGAUUCAUGGGUUUGAUAGCAGAUGUUUCUUCAUUCUUUCAGAACCUAUUUAUUUUCCCUAUGUGUGCUAUCUCUUACUUCCAAAAAGGAUCGCAUUUCAAGCUCUGGUCAAGUAACCCUUAUUUCAUAGGAAAAAUACUGACCAUUUUGCUCUUGUUCUUAGUGAGCAGCUGCCUAGUUACAAAUGACACACCUGGUAGCUGGGGAAGAAGGUGUUCUGCUGUGCCUGUUGCUCUGGGAGCUGAUGGGAUCAUGCACUGCUGGGGAAGGAGGAACAAAGCUAUCAGGUCACCUGUCUGCUUGCGGAUGAUGCUAACAAGAGACUCAGGAAAUUUUGCCAGAUGGAACUCUCAGAAAAACCAGCAGUUGUGGACAAGGGGCCUUCAGGCCUGAGUUGAGGUCUGCUCCUUUUACCAAGGUGAGACGCACAGACAGAGCGUACGAGCAUGAUAUAUUUACUUCUUCCUUGGUGUAGGUAUUUAAAGAUGAAUAAAAGUGUGGGGUUCUCAUUUGGCCUUGGACUUGUGUCACACACUGACAUUCAGGUGUGUCUCCCUGCUGCCAAAAGGGAGUGGAAGACAGGGUUACGAUGCACAAUCUUUAACCAAAAACUAUUGUGCUGUUACAAACCCAACAAAGGUUUCUUGUGUUAGUGAGGAGAUGUAAUCUUUCUUUAAUGGUUAUUUUAUUUCUCCUUGCAGAAUUUCAUCCGCUGGAAGUUCUGUUUAGGGCCAACGUCUUAACUCACUGUAAAUAGACACAAUCAUUGUGUUUGCCUAUUUUCUCACUUAGGCUAGUCUACAUGCUACACUUUGGAAACCAUUGCAGAAAGUCAAACAAAAUAUAUCUCGAUGUUUACUCUAUGGUGAAGAGGAGCUCCAGAAUCUAGCAAAAAGCUGUAUCAACAGAAGGUGCAAAAGUACAUUUCAAGCUCACAAUGUCACAAAAAGGUUAAAGAUCAUGUUUUACUUGUGGUAUGUAAGCCAGUUCAGUUUCUGUACUGCGCGCUUGCAAACAUGCAAUAAAUAAACAGAAUAAACGUAUGAAAAAUGGAACAAUAAAAGCUUAUUGGUUAAGUAAAUGCAGAAAAGUGUUUUUCAGAGAGAAACGGAAGAAACUGCAAUCAUUAGUUUAAACUUUUCAUAGGCUUGGGUUAAGAUAAAAAAAAAGUAACCAAUUCAUGUGUAAAUACAUAGAGUGAAAAAGCCUGAUGAACACUAGAAAUCAAUGGUUAGUAAAACAUGGUAGGUCAGACAAAUCCGAUAACUAAAGCUGCUGUAAUUGCAUGUUCAUUAUAUAGAGGCCUUCUGGUGGAAAUAAUGCCUAUUGAUUUCAGAUAAAGCACUUCAUAUGCUACUGAAUUAUAAAACUUUUAGCAUUUGGUGCAUGAAAUUCAGGGAAAUAUCAUAAUGGGAUGAAAAGGAGACUAAUUGAUGUGGAGGAACAAAGUGUUAUAUCACUGCAUCCUCAAUGGGCAGAGCUGCUGAUGGAACAGAGACUCCUCUCAUCCCACUUUCUAAUGCCAAGAUCUGGGGGAUGAAGUAAGCAGAAAAUGUAUUUUCCCUUCCCUUCCCAUAAGUAGGGAGGUGUCUUUGGCUAUUGCAAGGAAAUUGAAACUAGCUGAUCUUAAAGGUCCCUUUCAACCCAAACUAUUUUAUGAUUUUCUCUUUCUCUCUUUCUUUUUCCAAAAAUGGCUGACAAUUCAUUACAAAGGCACUUAAAAUGUUAUAUUAAUUUGUUUGCCUCAUGGCUCAGAGCUACUACCUCUGGGAAGUUAAGCUCAGGAACAGGAAUUAUACUGUAGAAGAUUUUUAAUAUUCAGAAAGCUCCAGAAUGACAAAUGCUUAUUCCCUAUGUAUAAGGAAGCUAAACUUCUAUACCAUGUGGUUUAAAGAAUCCCAUGAAAUGGGUGGAUUCUCAAACAAGAAUAUUCUGAAGUUUAAUAUUUUGAAGUUUCUAUAAGAAAAACAUGUUUUUUUCCUAUCAUCUAUACUUUUCUCUUCAUAUUUUGCAGCCAAACCAGAAAGCCCCAGUUUCAGGACAGUCCAUAUGGCAGAGCUGGCUGGGACAUGAAAAGCCUGGUAAACUUGCUUCUCCAGUCCUCCAGAAGCCUACUUGAUAGGGUAUCAAGAAGUGGGUGUACAAGUAUAGAUGGGGACAACCUCUGAUGAGAUUAUGGCAAUUUUCAGGCAAAACUGAUUUUCUUUUUGAAGAACUGAGUGUGUGGAAAACAAAUGUUCUGCGCAAAAUGAAAGUAAAGUACUUUAUUCUCCAGCUGAGAACAUUCAGAGCCAAAGCAACUCAAAUCUGCUUCCCUAAAUUGCAGAUUUAUUACAUCUGAAGACACAAGAACUUUUGCUGCUGAUGAACAAGGCAAAUUUCAUGUAGCAAGAUCUAGCACCUUUUUAGCUUUUUCCUUGCAUGGCCUCUAAAAGCUUCCAUUUCUGCAAAUAGAAAGAUGCUGAGAUGAUUUUCCCCAGUGGUAAGGUAUGCCAGGAUAUGGUUACGUCAACUCAGUCUGAAAGAAAUGUUUGAACUUCCCCCUAGGAGAUUACCCAAUAAGGUGGUGAGCGACUGCAAGAGAAGAAAAAAGAAACAAGGAAGAGAAUUUAUGUUAGAGACACUGUCCUCCUGCUAAUGCCAAACUAGUGCUGUCAUCUUCCUUGGAGUAGGCUGACAAUUCCAAUUCGAUGGAUCUAGGAUAUUAGUACAAAACACAAAGAUGUAUUUCUCAUGUUUGUCUAGUGACUCUUCCCUAGACAGUGUUUGUGCAAGCUGUUUCUGGAAGAGAAGAUUAAAUGCAAAUCCUUGGAAUAAGUGUACUGGUAAGAUUCAGUUGUCCGUAUGUUUUAAAUGCAGGGCUGUGUUGGUUUUAUACAUUUGAUUGGUAGAAGUAGCAGUAAGCCAUAUUCUUAUGGGGAAGAGGUUGUAUUGGUACAGUUCUCUACCACAUGAUCAUAGUUCUAACUCACUUGUUUCAAAAUACAGUGGUAGGAAGAAUAUUCCUACUAGGCAGUUUUGGGGUUUAAAGCAUUGUUUUUUUCUGACAAAUGUGUGGUUAAAAUGUGACUUUCCAUCCUUCUGACUGUUCUCCCUGAGGGGUUCAGAACCCUCUUCACAUCAUAGAAAACUGACAGCCACUUGGAUAACCACAAAUCCUGGCUCCAACCAGGCUUCCUGCUCUCCUUUCCCUAAAAUGCCCUGGAGAAAAGGGCAAUGCAAAACUCUGAUGGGGGAAGGAAAAGAGAGAAAAAUCCAUGAAACUAAAGGAAAAAGUCUGACUAAUGUUAUAGUGUUAGGUAAGAGUAGCUAAACUCUUAAAGUGAUCUUUCCUCACUGACAGAGAGAAGCAGGUAAACUCUCUUUCUCUGUACUUAGUCUCAGUUUUCUAGUGGCAAGGGUUUUCUCUCCUGCACCUCCUGAACAAUUUCAAAAGGAAAUCACCUAUUUGUUUUCCCCAGAGAUGAAAAUUUUAAGAGCUGUUAUAGAAUAACAUAGCCUUGUCAUUAAUAUUGAACAAACAGAUGGUGCCAUCUGACAGAGCUCACAUCACCACACAGUGGCAGCCAGCCUUAUGUACUCCAAACAAAUUACUGUGGAAGGCUAGGUAAUUAAGAGAGACACGGAGCUUGUACCCUAAAAAAUCUUUCUACUUUCAAGCCAACUAAUUAUAAAUGCUUUUGCGAGCCUUUUUGUUAUCUAAGCAUUCUUAUCUACAAAGAAAGAGAUGACUUUUCAAAAUUCCAAACUCUUAGAUUUGCUGAAUAUAAUUUUGAUAGUCCCUGUUGUUUCUUUUUGUAAGAUUGCUGAGCUCUUCUGGUCAGCUAUCUAGGAUGUGGAAUACUAAAUGCAAUGACAACCAGCUUUUGCUGGCAGAAGAAAAGCCUGGUAAAGAAGCCUGGUGAGUAACAGAGAAGAAUGUCUGAAAAGGUAGACAAUGGCAAUGAUAACCUAAUUCAACACCUGUGAUCCCAGAUGUAAUGACUAUACUGACUUUAAACUCAUGCACUGAGAGUUACCUAUCUUCUGCAGGUAGCAGCCCAUUGAAGCUUACCACCUGAGUGCAUAAAUACCAGGAAGAGAUAAAGUAUUACAAAUGAAAACAAGUUUCUUUUCAAGUUUAGGAAAGUUUCAUCAAAACCCCUUAUUCCCCUCUAACUCCGUGUGUUUCCAACGCAGCUGUACGUGACCCACUGCUUUAAUCAGCCCUUGCAAGCACAUAAUGGCAAGCAGGAAAACACAGCAGUAUUACUGUGAAAAAUUAGUACUGUGAGCAGAAAUAAUUUGUAUGAAACAUCACACUACUAUACCAGUUUUUCCUGUGCUGUGUUGUUUUUUUUCUGUCAUUUUGUAAAACGUGUUUUGGGACUGUAAUUCUCUGUGUGAAUUUCCCCAAAAUAACCGUUAUUUGUUACUGUUAUUGUUAGUGUUUCAACUGUAUUAUUCUCAGUGAGUGCUUCUGAACUUUAAGAUAUAGGGGUACAAUAACUUCAACAUAGCUUCCUUUUUUUUUUUAUUGUUAAAAAAUUACCAUGAAUCCCACGAAGUCAAUGUCUAGAAAACACUUAACAACCGUGUUUUCUUAGUUUAUGGUUUAACAUUCCUCUUCUCCUCCUCUGACACACGCACAAAGAAGUUCAUUAUGCUGAAUCCCCUGCAGCUAGCGAGUAUUCUGCAGCGAAGAAAAACAAGCUUUGUUAAGGAGAUUACGGCUCUGGUGUUUUCACAAUCCGAAAUGUUCGCUGAGAAAAAAAAUCUUAAUUGGAUAAAACCUUACGUGCAAAAUCUUUGCUCCCUGAAAAUGGAAGCGUAUGUAACGUAAAGGCCGUGAAAGAACGAGAUCUGAAAAUAUAACACCAAUGUGACUUCUGAAUUGCCCAGAUGAAAUUUUGCAACAGAUUUCCAUCAGAAUAGGAAUGAUUCUCUGUUGACAAACACUAAUAAAUCCAGGCAGAGAUUUAAUUUCUAGUAAGCAAAUUUUCUAGAUAACAUAAGUUCCUUCUCCAUCCCCGUGGCUCUGCUGAACUCAUGUAGUGAGGAUACUCACUUAUGUAGAGAUUAAGCAGCAGAGGCUUCUCCACGCUCACCACUCUAGGGGAGCCAUGGGCUGGUUUGUAAAGGCACUCACUGGAGUCAGUGGAUGGGGCAGGGAGAAGCAGAGCAAAGAAUCUCAGGUUCUGGCAAGGGAGUAUUUCUGGCCCUCAUUCCCUCCAGCACUAAUACAGAAAUGCUAGAGGACUACUGAAAACCAACCACUGAGAGUUUAAGGGAAGGGAUCCUAGCAAAGCUGGCUCUGCUAGGCGCCCAUCUGAGCAUUAUGCUCAGGUUCCUCAGGAAUUUUCUGAGCACAAGUUAUGGCAAGGAAUUUUUUUUUUACACAGAAAAUACUUCCAUGUGUUUUGAGCUAGGAAAUAGACUACAAAAUGAAGAGUCAGACAACUGACAAAAAAAACAAAAACAAAAAGCAAACUAGUGAAAUGGUGAAAGAAAGCUUUAACAUUUGGGCUUUUGUUGUUGUUGCUUUUUCAAAGAUUAAAGAUACCUUUGAAAAUAUUA